rnacentral:rRNA from 1 species
GACGAACGCUGGCGGCGUGCCUAAUACAUGCAAGUCGAGCGAACAGACGCGGAGCUUGCUCCUCUGUCGUUAGCCGCGGACGGGUGAGUAACACGUGGAUAAUCUACCUAUAAGACUGGGAUAACCUCGGGAAACCGGAGCUAACACCGGAUAAUAUAUUGAACCGCAUGGUUCAAUGGUGAAAGUCGGUUUUGCUGUCACUACUCGAUGGAUACGCGCCGCAUUAGCUAGUUGGUAAGGUAACGGCUUACCAAGGCAACGAUGCGUAGCCGACCUGAGAGGGUGGUCGGCCACACUGGAGCUGAGACACGGUCCAGGCUCCUACGGGAGGCAGCAGAAGGGAAUCUGCCGCAAUGGGCGAGAGCCUGACGGAGCAACGCCGCGUGAGAGAUGAAGGUCUUCGGAUCGUAAAACUCUGUUAUUAGGGGAGAACAAAUGUGUAAGUAACUAUGCACGUCUUGACGGUACCUAGUCAGAAAGCCACGGCUAACUACGUG